AGAUUAGAUACCCUGGUAGUCCACGCCGUAAACGAUGCAUACUAGGUGUUGGCCCUUUUGGGUCAGUGCUGCAGUUAACGCAUUAAGUAUGCCACCUGGGGAGUACGUCGGCAACGAUGAAACUCAAAGGAAUUGACGGGGGCCCGCACAAGCGGUGGAGCAUGUGGCUUAAUUCGAUGCAACGCGAGGAACCUUACCUGGGCUAAAUCCACAGCGCUACCUCUGGAAACAGAGGGUUUCUUC
rnacentral:rRNA from 1 species